GGGUGGUGGUUCCGCCAUACGGCUGCUGAGCGCCAGUGGCUCGGGCUCAGUCCGCGGUGCUCUGUGGCUGUUUGGGGCUGUGUGUCCCCGGGGCAGCACCAACCCCGGAGGAUCUCUGUGGGCGUUGCUGUGGCUGUGCUGGCUCCUGGUGCGGCGCUUUGGGGCAGCGGUGUGCGGAGCGGAGCUAGUGCCGCUGGGUGAUGGGGGGAUGGUGAGAGAGCUCUGUGGUUCCUGAAGUUCUCACCGGGUGAGACACCUGUGAGGCUUUUCCGUAAGCCAAUGAGCCCCACUUCCCUCCGGUUACCUGCAGCAGCCUUUGGAUUUCUUCCUUCUGGGAAAGUGCAGUAGGAUCUGUAGGGAGUUUGACAGGCUUGAAACCAGUUGUCUCAACCUGAUGAUUACCAGGAGCCUGAACAGACACCUUACUGCUCACUUAGAAGUUUGGAAGCAUUCAGACCUGUGCUGGUGGUGUAUUUCCAUACGACCUCUGACCAGCUAGCAGAUUGUGUUGAGGGUUAAGGAAGUCAGAGGACCACUGCCAUGUAGAAGAACCCUGCCUAACUGACAUCCAGAACUCGGAGCGGCUCCAGCAGAAGAUGUGAUAGCCUUGACCUGCUUCUACCAGGCCUUGCCUUGUGUCCUGGCUUUAAGAGGUUGUGCACAACUGACACUGUCCACAGCAGAGUGAAGCUUUCUUUAAAUGUCUCCAAGUUUUGGAAAACCAAGAGUGCCUUAAGAACUCUUCCUUGUUCCUUCGUUUGGCUCUUGAUGAGGUGAGAGCUGCAGCGGGGCAUGUAGAGACUCUUGUUUGCAAUAACAUCACUCUGCAGCGCAGUCUGGUGAGGAGGACCAUAAGGCUCUACGUGGCCGUAUGCACUGACACACCAACACCACGAUGUCGAAAUACGGACGGGAAAGACUUCACAUCUGCCUGUUUCUCCCGAGUGAAGGACCUACCAGAAGCCUCUCUUGGAAACGUUAAAGAGACGCUAAUUAAAAGAAUACAGUAUGUCCCUGAUGAGGGACUGUUGACAAAGACCUGACUCCACGAGUCAUUGGAGCAGCUCCUUACCAAGAUGCAAGAUGUAACAGAUCUGAUCUGGAAAUCACCUUAAUUGCUGAAAGACCACCACUUCCCUCCAAGAGACACAACAGACCAUAAGGACCACAGAUUUUUUUCUUAAAGUGAUAUUGCCGGAUAGAGCAGCACAUCAGGAGCUUGGGUUUUGCAUAACACCAGGGAAGAUUCACAGGAAAAUCACAGGAGUUGGCAACAGAGAGCUUUUCCUUCGGAACGGGCUGGCACGGCUCGACGCACAGAUGUUCCAAAGAGCAGCUCCUUCACUGGUGCAACUCCAGCUUCACCGGUGCCAGGGGAUGGAUGCGAGUUGAGAGCUGCUGUGGAUCUGCCACCCUCAGGUUUUAAGGAGCAUGGAGGAGCACUGAGCUGGUUUGGUGCCUCACUAGAGACAUGUGCCAGCUAGUGAGCACCUUCCCUGGGAGCCGCCCUCUGUGUGAUGGGCAAAAGGGAAGCUGAACGCCUUCCUCCCUGCUCUUCAUCACUUUGGGGGUGCUGGUGCACAAUGGAAAGCCCCAGGACUUUUGUUCAGUGCAACCAUCCAAGGAAGGAGGGAAAGAUUUCAGCAUGGAAAACUUGUGCCUUUCCACCAGCUUUUGCAUCCGAACCAGCACAGCUUGUGUCUGCUCUACUGAGUCAGGCUCUCAGGGCACCUGGAAAGGAAAACUGGCUUUGGAGACAAAGGUCCCGCCUUGCUUUUAGGAGGGGACACUGGGAGCCUGGGGCUCCCUCUAUUUUGGGGACAGGGUGGCUACUGUGCUACAAAGACUGCCUUCUGCAUCUCCCCUGCUGAAAUCUCACAUCACAGUGCUUCCCGGGGUCAGCCUGACAGCAUCCAUCCCAUCGGCGCACAGAAAGUGCGGCUUUUGGAGAGGGGAACAUAAUUUUAAAGUUGGCCUGAGAAACCUCCAUCUAGUUUUCAGGGUUCCAGAAUGUUGUUUUAUUAGGAUUACAGUCUUGUUCUUCUUAGGUUUCAGCAGGCGUUUAUGACUGUUACAACAGGAAUGAAAAGCUGGGGCUGGAAUCGGCAUUGCUUUCUCCUGCCAGGCGCAGGGUUCACGGUAGAGGCCAGACAUAUGUCUUUCUCCCACAGAUGCUACUUUUUUUCUGGAUGAGGAGGUGAGCUCCAGCCUCUCCCUGGAAGAGAGGGCUGGCAGCAGCGCUGAGCUGAGAUGUGGGGUCUGCACAGGGGCCCAUUGGCUGAAGAUCCUGGAUUGUGGAGGACUAAUGCUUCCAGGCAAGCAAAGCCUGCAGCAUCCUUUUGUUCCUGGUGCAUUCAAUGGGCAGUGCAUUGACUCAGCCUUUUACUCAAAGGACACGAGGAUGCUGUAGAUUUCUCCAUUUGACCAGCUGGAUUUGCACCUGAGUUUUGAUCCCAUGGCUCCAGCUGAAGCUCUCCUUACUUCUGCAGAGAUUGUCCCCUAUGCCAGCAGGACCACCUGAGCCAUUGGCCAUCACCCAGCAGGGAAAGGAUCCCGGGCAGCUUGUCAGGCAUGUUAUGGUGGUCACGUGUGUGAUCUGCCUCCCAAGAGGAAGACAUUUGGGUUGCUGUACCAGAGCCAUGGGACGAGCUUUGCUCACGCCAGCAAGCAGCGUGCCCACCUAGUCCCUGGAGAGCUGGUAAGCAGUUAGCACUUGCUAAGCGGAUAUUGCUUCAUCUUCUGUUAUUACUUGUGUUUGCUAGGUCAAACUGACACCAACUGGUCUGCCACGGCCACAUCAGAGUACCUAUCCAGAGUCUCUGGAGAGCUGCUGAACUGUAAGGAUGUGCAAAGCCCAUAUUCCUGGGACUGCCUAUGUUUGCUAGGUCCGACUGACACUGAUCUGCAGAGAGGAGCUAUGGGCACACCUUUGUUUUACUCUGGAGGAAUAUCCUCUAUCACUCCAGGCCUUAAUUCCUCAUCAGUGAUGAACUGCUGGUGGUAUCCACAGACUGUGGCUCUGUGAUUUGGUGUGGUGGGAAAGCAGAAGCCCCAAGGCACACUGGAGGUGUAACGUUCUGCUAUAAGAACCGAAGAUACAGAAGUGAUAUUAUUGGCAGCUUGGCUGCUGACUGGUUCAGAGACUGCAAGGAAAAUGAUUUGAAGCAUUUCCUUCUUCUAACACCAAAACAGAGCCUGGCUUUUACAUAAGGAGAAAACUAUUUGUCGAGUGCUGCGAGCUGCGCUUUGCUAUCACACCGUUUCACAGAACCAGAAGAUACAAAUCAAUGGGGAAAUGUACAGUUGUAGUCCUGUGAUUUCUAUAUCUGCUUUUGCAAUGAUUAUGAUGACAGGACACAUCUCUUUCUUGCCCCCUAGAAGAUUUAUUUUUCUCUGCCCAGCCCUUUUUCUUAUGUUUCUGUAGUUCUCCGAAUAUAAUCUGCUGCCCUUAAUCACGUUUAAAAAAUCACACUGACUUGAAAGGAAAAUGUUAAGUUCUUCAAUGAAUGGAAAAAUACUUCUGUUGUUUAAAUGCUGGACUUGGAGUUUUGCUGUUCGGGGAGAAAGGAGUUGAUGCCCAGCAGGGCAGACUGAUCCUGUGCAGAUGCUGCUCAGUGAGAUGAAUUCUCUGCAUCCCGAAGAAUGUUGAGUGGAUUGGGAGCUCCCUCUGAUUGAGCAGAGCUGUGCUCCUGCAAGCGUAGACCAGUUUGGUCUCCAGUUUUCUGGUGACUGUUCUGUUGCCUGCAGGCUGCAGCCAUUCUCAACGCUGUAAAUACCUUCAGACAUCUGCUCCAAGCAUACCUCCCUGCCAGAAGCUGCGAUGAAGGUGAUCCAGUCAUGCCUUCUGUUUCAUGGUUCCCCCUCUGUGGUUGUCUCAUUUUGGGCUCUCGGUGGCUUACCAACAGGGGAACCUCUGAAAAAAGGAGUCAUUGCUGUUUUGUGCUUUGGAUCAGUAUCUGGAUCCACUGUCCCUGACUCGAGUCAACACUCAGUGUCUCUAAACUCUCUUUGCUUCCUCAUUUUAUCGUCCACUCUCCAACCACUUGUCUUAAUCCACUUAAUUUCCUCCUUGGAGUCCCUCAAGUCCCAAACCUUGCCAUGCUCAGCCUGGUCCAAAGCGGAAGCAGCAGAACCCCCUGCCCCGCUUUGCCUCUGUGCCUUCUCAGGGCCGUGCACAGAGGGUGGGAAGAGGCAGCAGUCAGCAGAGCAGAGGUGGGGCGAGCAGGAAUGCGGGGUGAGACCAAAGAGAUCCUCAGGGAAAUUGCUGCAGCUGCAUUGUUCUGCUUCCUGUGACUCAAAGUGCAACGCCAGUGUGCCCAGGGGGCCGGUGCUGUGAGGUACGAGUGUCACACCGAGUGUGGGCACAACACUAAUGGAAAAUGCUGCUUUAAACUCUUAUCUUAAGCCUUCUGUUCAGCACCCGAGCUCAAAGCCUGCAUCCUUCCAGGUCUGUGAUGCUGUGCACCUGCCAGCUGCAGCGCUCCGAGUUGUCUUUGCAGAGCAGCACAAGCCUGUUGUGACACCUUGGUGCCUUUGGCUCCGCUCCCAUUCUCUAGAAUUGCACUUGGCCUUGCUUUGGCCCUCUGCCCAGCCUGAAUUCGCCUUCUUGGUUUUCACUUAUUUCCCAUAUCACUUUUCUCUCCUGCUUCUCCUCAGGGAUCUGGCUGCAAACCUUCGUGCCCAGGUGGGUGAGCAGCCGCUCCCUCCCAGGGUCCCUUCAUUUGUGAGAGAGAGACGUGGGACGUUUGCAGUUUUUCUUCCUCCUUCCAGCUGAAUGUUAGACAGUUCUUCUCCUGAAUGUCUCUCUUCUCCCUUUUCCUGAAUCGGCCCCUCAGUUUUAUUUCUCUGUGAGCUGUCUGGUUGCUGGUAUUUUAAAAAUAAAUCAAGUAGACCCUGCAAAUGGCCCUGAGAAGGAAGCCUGGCUAGCCCCUGGGAUCAGACACGCAUGGUACACACGUAUAGCUCUGGUUUGCCCACAUCGUUUGGAUAAGGUAUCAGAGAGCACAGACUGCCUUUGCACUGAAGCCUGCAGGUCAAGGAGUUGGCCUCCCUUCAGCCCAGGGGCCGUGUGGCUGCCAGCCCAUAAGCUAAAGCUUAUUUCUGGAACAUGCUGGAAACCCACCUCAGACAACAAUGCGUUUGAUUCCUCCUUUCCAGGCAUGUUCACUUUUGCUUCUUUCUUACGGGGAAGAUUUUGCUUCCAUCUCCCUUCUGCUCUUCUUCUCAAGCCAGCGCAACACAAGGAGAGCCAACCCCGGUCAUUCUUCAAGAGCUGAGUGGUGAGGAUGUCAUAGAAUCAUAUCAAAGAAUCAUAGAAUGGCCUGGGUUGAAAAGGACCACCGUAAUCAUCCCCCCAUGAUGGUGCACUGGGUGUAUGGGGCAGUGCGUACCCUGAUAGCAGCAAAACUGUUGUUUCACGUGCCAUAAACAGGAGCUCAUACAACAACCCUGUGUCAUGUAGCUCUCCCGGUGUUCUCACAGGGACUGGAGCUCGACUUAAAUGCUGUGAGAGCCUUCUGUGUGCCGGGCUGGUUGUGGCACUGGGGGGACCGAUCAGUUGGGCAGCAAGCAGCCCACGGCAGGAGGGAUGGAACUGCAUUCUCUCUAAGGGCCAUUCCAACCUGAGCCACUCAGUGAUUGUGUCUCUUAUUCAGAACUGACGUGUGGUUUUGCUUCAUUUCUGAGGAUGGUUCAAAGUGCUCUCCUUUCCAGAUGGAGAUUCUGACAUGCCUUUAAUUCUAAUCUUCUCCUCUCCUCAUUUUUUUUUAAUCAGCCUUCACAGUUAAGCAUAUAAUUAGCCACUUGGAUAAAGUAGGUGUGUGGUGUCACAGAGUCACCAAGCUGAACCUAGGCCUUCUGAAGUCCGAAUCAACUCCAUCAUCAGAGCAGCCUUCCUGUAGGCACGCCAGCACUUGCAGCAUGGCCCAGAACCUCCUGCCUUUGAACUUCCCAGCUUUAGGCUGCUGCGUCAGCGUCUGUGUAUGAUGGAAGCAGUGAAGGGGGAAACAGGUAAUUGCUUAGGGAGGAAAAAGCCAAAAAUGAAACCAUGCCUUGCUGCCACUGACACGAGCUCUGCUCCUGCUCAUGUGCUUUUGGGUAAUAGAUUUUUAGGAGAGAAUGUGGUGGGCUUUGAUUCUGCUUACAGGUGUUGUCUCAGAGCAGAAGAGAACAGAGCAGGCAACAGUGAGUAAGAACACUUCUACCUUGAAAACAAACCCAGAGAACACCUCACUCCUUAGCUCACUCCAUCAAUAACAGAACAGUCUUGCUGCACUGCAGUGAACUGCUAAAAAGUUAUCGUCAGGAAGGACUGGAAGUACUUCUAGCUCUUUCCUUCCCAUAUACCUGCUUCAGAAGGACUAAACCUGUGGGGUGCCUGGAGUGAACUGAGUUGUCCUGCACUAACAUGGAUUGCUUUGCACUAGAGUAAGCCACUGAGGUCUCUGGUGAAGACCUUGCUGCACUUAGCAUGUUUUAGCUAAGUGUGAUGGAUUUGUGUUUAUGUGUCCGUGUGUGUUUAUAUACACAUACAUGGCUAUAAAAGUACAUGGGAUACUGAGUUGAAGUAGGACAGAACUGACAACGCCAGUAUAACCUGCAGCCUCAUUUAGAUGUCCGUGGAGAAGCAGCCUUUCCUCCUGAAGUGAUUUUCCUCAUCACAUGUCUGUGGGAAGCUGAUGCUCUGUUCACACAUAUUCACUACGUAGGCCUAUUUGGUGAGUAUUUUCUAUUAACGGCCCUUGGUCUGCUCGUGGUGAGCACUUCGUCACCGGGCAGGUGGUGCACAUGAGCCCCACCAGCAUCCUGUGGCUGGAGAUGGAAGCCACAAGCCAUGCCCGUGUUCUCCACCUCCGGUCAGAUGGGAAUCCCUAAGAGGAUUCCUCCUCUCUGCUGUCAGGGGAGGACGUUCACAGUCACGAGUCUGAAAUUCAGAGAUGUGCUGACAUUUCCAGGCACUUACAAUAAUGCUCACUGCUGAACUCCUUUGCUGCUGCUGAAAACCAAACAGAACGUGCUCAGAGCAAACUCAUCUAGCAAAUUCAAGCAUGUCCUCCUAGAACUCCUUUUGCAGCAGCUGUCCUGCUCUGCUUAUUUAUGCCUUGCGCUAGCAUCUGAAAUCAUUAAGGCCUCUGAUGAUAGCACAUCUCAAGACACAAUUAAAGGACAAAGACAAAUGUCAGCACCCCGGAGGUGCCACAUGGUUUUGCAGAGCAGCGGAUUUGGCAGUGCUGCAGGAGGAGCGCGGCACUGAAGUGUCAGAGUCACAGCUGAACACAAAGCCCAGUAUCAGUGCUGGAGACACCGAGGUGGUGUGGAUGCUAAGGGUGCUGCCAGCGUUGUGGUGUUCUCAAAACGUAUCUGUGGCUCAACCAAUCUGAAAUGAGUCUUCUCCUCUUAACCACGUGGCCUUACAGUGUUCCUUAGGAGAACGGCAGCCUUGUGGAUGCUCAUCCCUGGAGGUGUUCAAGGCCAGGUUGGAUGGGCCCUGGGCAGCCCGAUCUGGUGCCUGUGUAGUUUGUGGCAACACUGCCUGUGGCAUGGGGGCUGGAAAUGGAUGGUCUUUGGUGGUGAUGGGUUGGAAGUUGGACCUCCACGAUCACCUUGGAGGUCUUUUCCAGCCUUAAUGACUGUAUGAUUCUAUGAAUACAUCCCUUCUGGAGGUCCCUCUCACAUCUCAAGGAUGAUGUUUUGAUGGAAUGGGAAGCAAACGUAGGCUAAAAGCUAUGAUUAUUUCUAGAACGUGCAUGAGAAUAUGGAUAUUCCUCUUGUAACAGUGAUCAAGAAAACCAAUCAGUGUAUAAAUGAUUUUACAACA